rnacentral:tRNA from 1 species
GCGGGUGUAGCUCAGUUGGUAGUCCGCCUCGGCGGAUCCCAAGCUGAAGGCCGUCGGUUCGAGACCGAUUACCCGCUCCU